rnacentral:lncRNA from 1 species
CUAAAAGACCUCCGUCUUCUUGCUUAGCAAAAUAAUCUCCCAAAAGCCCUCCGUCUCGUUGCUUGGCGAAGUAGGUGCGUCGGAUACCUCUGUCUUCUUGCUUAGCAAAAUAGUCUCCCAAAAGCCCUCCGUCCUAUUGCUUGGCGAAGUAGUCUCCUAAAAGACCUCCGUCUUCUUGCUUAGCAAAAUAAUCUCCCAAAAGCCCUCCGUCUCGUUGCUUGGCGAAGUAGGUGCGUCGGAUACCUCUGUCUUCUUGCUUAGCAAAAUAGUCUCCCAAAAGCCCUCCGUCCUAUUGCUUGGCGAAGUAGUCUCCUAAAAGACCUCCGUCUUCUUGCUUAGCAAAAUAAUCUCCCAAAAGCCCUUCGUCCCGUUGCUUGGCGAAGUAGGUGCGUCGGAUACCUCCAUCCUGCUGUUUGCCGAAGAAGGCAGCCCAUUCACCUCCGUCUUCCUGCUUGCCGAAGAAGGCAGCCCAUUCACCUCCGUCUUGUUGCUUGCCGAAGAAAGCGUCCCAAACACCUCCGUCCUUCUGCUUGGCAAAGUAGGGGAGCCGAAUACCUCCGUCCUGUUGCUUGUUGACGGAGACAACAACAGCAGAAACCGACACCUUUGAGCUAGUUUUGGGGCUAGUAAGCAGCGUCAUCGUCAUAUUCUUCUUGGAGUGUUGCGGUGGUGAUGAUGCCACCGGCAAGAAAGUAGCAGCGGCGGGCAUGGCGAAAGAGGAAGCCAUUGAUGAUCAACAAUUUGCUUGGGGUAGUAGUGUUUAUACUAGGUAGUACUUGAUACAAUGAAG